rnacentral:rRNA from 1 species
UACGGAGGAGGCAAGCGUUAUCCGGAAUUAUUGGGCGUAAAGCGUCCGUAGGUGGCUUUCUCAAGUCUGCGGUUAAAGACUGGGGCUUAACUCCAGAAAGGCCGUGGAAACUGAAAGGCUAGAGAGCCGUAGGGGUAGAGGGAAUUCCCGGUGUAGCGGUGAAAUGCGCAGAUAUCAGGAGGAACACCGGUGGCGAAGGCGGGUCUCUGGGCCGUAACUGACGCUGAGGAGCGAAAGCAUGGGGAGCGAACAGG